rfam:Schistosoma curassoni strain Dakar, Senegal genome assembly, scaffold: SCTD_scaffold0001461
AUCUAGCUGACGAGUUCCGAAUCGGAGGAGACGCGCUUCCUGCAU